UACUAGUGUUGGUUUGCUACUUGAUCCUAAGGCCAAGCCCCCUCGCGUGACGACCACGCUGGCCACCGGGCAAAAUGCGCCUCACUUGCUGGCACGUCUAAGAUCAGCCCGGAUGUAGGCAUGUGUAUCGUAUUUUGUCGGGUUUCGAGAUCAAGAAUCGAUGUCCCUUUGUUGGUUGGUUUUCCGAGAAUCCUUGACCCUUCAUUACGCUGGCCACCCGGCAAAAUGCGCCUCACUUGCUAGCAUGUGCAUUGUAUUUUGUCGGGUUUCGAGAUCAAGAAUCGAUGUCCCUUUGUUGGUUGGUUUUCCGAGAAUCCUUGACCCUUCAUUACGCUGGCCACCUGGCAAAAUGCGCCUCACUUGCUAGCACGUCUAGAUCAGCCAGGGCGUAGGCAUGUGUUUCGUAUUUUGUUGGGUUUCGAGAUCAAGAAUCGAUGUCCCUUUGUUGGUUGGUUUUCCGAGAAUCCUUGACCCUUGAUUUGUUACUUUCGCAUCGUUCGGUGCAUUCUGGGGGAUGUUUUGGCUUUUGGUGGCUUACUUGGCCUUUUGGCUGGGUUUGUUGCUAUUGGUCGGGCGGCUUUCGGGAAUGUCGACCGUGGAGGUGCAUGAGUGGUGUUUGGUUUGUUACGUGUGGAUGGCUGUUUGCUUGCGCAACAACGUUCACGCUGCAUACCUCUUCAGUUUUGCGGCAAGGCUUGGUUUGGCUUGUGCAUAUUGUGGGUUUCCUGUGUUGCAUACCUAGUUGAAGGAAAAGUGUGGGUUUUACGAUUUUCAUUUUCGUCUUGCGUCGUUCUUUCGGCAUGGGAUGAGCAAUGAAGCGAUCUUUAUGAUCCAUCGUGCUGUUGUGUUUGCAACAAUGAUGUGGCCUAUGAAGCAUCGUUUGGUCUCUUGUAUACGGAAGCUCAUUUGGGCUUGGGUCUUUAUAAGAUCUUCGUAUGCCCUUGUUAAGCGUUCUCGCUUCUCUAAACGAUUG
rnacentral:misc_RNA from 1 species